rnacentral:rRNA from 1 species
CCUACGGGUGGCAGCAGUAGGGAAUCUUCCACAAUGGGCGAAAGCCUGAUGGAGCAACGCCGCGUGGGUGAAGAAGGUCUUCGGAUCGUAAAACCCUGUUGUUAGAGAAGAAAGUGCGUGAGAGUAACUGUUCACGUUUCGACGGUAUCUAACCAGAAAGCCACGGCUAACUACGUGCCAGCAGCCGCGGGAAUACGUAGGUGGCAAGCGUUAUCCGGAGUUAUUGGGCGUAAAGGGAACGCAGGCGGUCUUUUAAGUCUGAUGGGAAAGCCUUCGGCUUAACCGGAGUAGUGCAUUGGAAACUGGGAGACUUGAGUGCAGAAGAGGAGAGUGGAACUCCAGGUGUAGCGGUGAAAUGCGUAGAUAUAUGGAAGAACACCAGUGGCGAAGGCGGCUCUCUGGUCUGUAACUGACGCUGAGGUUCGAAAGCGUGGGUAGCAAACAGGAUUAGAUACCCCAGUAGUC